rnacentral:misc_RNA from 1 species
AAUUAUUAGAGAAUAUAUGACAUAAGAAUAACCAUAAACCAUAUAUUUCGGUAAUUAUUAGAGAAUUUAUUACAUGUAGAUACCACCAGUCAUAUUCCAUAUGACCAUAACUAUUAACUCAGUAGAACCUGCCCUGUUACAGGCCUUAAAAUAUAGAUUUUGCCUCAAGGACAAGGUCAUAUUUCAUUCGAGAUAUGAGCCCAGAUCUCUCGCUCAUGUCCAAUACCUCUCCUUCCUUCCCAUCAGGCAACCCCCAAUCGAAAUGAAACAAUAGCUUUGCAAGGGCCAGCUCGAUGACAGAAACUGCAAACCCAAUUCCAGGGCACCCUCUCCGACCAGCUCCAAAGGGUAUAAACUGCAUGUGGUGUCCUCUGAAAUCAACAGAGCUAUCUGUGAACCUAUCAGGCCAGAACUCUUCAGGUCUCUCCCAUGAUUUGGGGUCCCUUCCAAUUGACCAUGCAUUGAUCAUCGUCCUUGUCUUCGAGGGUAUGUGGUAUCCCACCACCUGCGUGUCCUCCAUGGACUCUCGAGGGACCAGGAGAGGAACUGGGGGGUGCAGCCUGAGGGACUCCUUGAUCACUGCCUUCAUAUAUUUCAUUUGAGACAAGUCAUCCUCCAGUAUAGUUUGUUUGAGCCCAACAACUUCUCUAACUUCCUCCUGGACUCUCUUCAUUGCUUCCGGGUGCCGGAUGAGCUCCGCCAUCGUCCAUUCCAGUGUUGUGAAGGUAGUAUGCGUGCCACCAAAGUACAUGUCCAGAAUAAGUGCUUUUAUGUUGUCCUUGGAGAUAGAAAUACCAUCCUUGUUAUCCUCCCGAUCUAAAGACAUCAAAACAUCAACAAAAUCCAUGGUGUCCUCAUGACCACCCUGCAGCCUCUCCCUAUUUUGCACAUGAUCCUCAAUCACCUUAUCGGUGAAAGCAUCCAUUUGUCUGGAGAUAUUCCUCACUCUUGCAUUCAAGCCACUCACCGUAUCAAGCCAUGAAAGCCAUGGGAUAAAAUCGCCGACCGAGAAUUCAGCCAACAGGGCCACGAAAUCGUCUAGAACAGUCUGAACUCUGGAGCUGCUAGUGAACCAACUGUACUUCCUCCCGAACGCCACUCUGCUUGUGAUGUUACUUGUGAGUGUCAGGAUCAUUUCGCUCAAAUUCACCGGCUGCGGUCCAGCUUGAAUUUUCUCGACCAUAAGUGCAACCUCUUCCGUCCGGAUGUUGAUGAAGGAUUGGACCCUCUUAAGGCUCAGUAAAUGGAGGACGCAGAUCCGCCUCAUCUGUCGCCAGUACUCGCCGUAAGUUGCAAAAGCGACAUCGUGGGAGUCGUAGAGGAGUCUGUUUGCAAUGGAAGAUGGUGAUCUGCUAGAGAAUGCGAGAUCAUGUGCCGUCAAGACCUCGCGUGCAGUGUCAGGCGAGGAGAGUAUUAGGGUCGGGACCUGGCCCAAGUGGAGAAGCAUGAUCUGGCCAUACUUUUGUGAUAGAGAAUGAAGUGAGCGAUGUGGUAGAGAGCCUAGCUGAUGAAGGUUUCCUAUGAUGGGGAGCUUCGGUGGUGUUGGUACGGUGUUUGCUCGCCCUGGCCGCGUUAAUUUGUAGAGGAAGGAGGCAACAAUGGAGAGUAGAAAUAUGAAUCCCACGAUUGAUAACUGAAUUUGAAUCAUUAUGGAGAGAAGCUGUGCUUGCAAUUAGUUUGAGAAUUCGAUAUAUGAUGAAAUAUCAAGAGAGAAGGAUUGACCCCGAAAUGGGGAGAUUAUUCGAGAAUCCCUGC